CCCGCCGCCUCCCGCCGCCCGCGGAUGCUCUCGGCAGCGGCGGCCGCGGUGCCCGGGCGGCGGGGGCAUGGCGGCCCCGGACAGCUGUGUCAAGGUGGCCGUAAGGAUCCGUCCCCAAUUGUCCAAAGAGAAAAUAGAGGGAUGUCACAUCUGCACCUCGGUGACGCCUGGUGAGCCCCAAGUCCUGCUGGGGAAGGACAAGGCCUUCACCUACGACUUUGUCUUUGACCUGGACACAUGGCAGGAGCAGAUCUACACAACGUGCGUGGGCAAGCUCAUCGAAGGCUGCUUCGAGGGCUACAAUGCCACCGUGCUGGCGUACGGCCAGACUGGUGCAGGGAAGACGUACACCAUGGGCACUGGCUUCGACAUGAACAUCUCUGAGGAAGAGCAGGGCAUCAUCCCGCGGGCCAUUGGCCACCUCUUCAGUGGCAUCGAGGAGCGCAAGCGGGCGGCACAGAGUCAGGGUGUGGCGGCACCCGAGUUCAAAGUCAGCGCCCAGUUCCUGGAGCUCUACAAUGAGGAGAUCCUGGACCUGUUUGACAGUGCCCGCGACCCUGAUGCACGCCACCGCAAAUCCAACAUCAAAAUCCAUGAGGAUGCCAGCGGGAGCAUCUACACCACAGGGGUCACGUCGCGCCUCAUCAGCUCGCAGGAUGAGCUGAUCCAGUGCCUAAAACAGGGGGCUCUUUCCCGCACCACCGCCAGCACCCAGAUGAACGUGCAGAGCUCCCGGUCCCAUGCCAUCUUCACCAUUCAUCUAUGCCAGAUGAGAGUGUGCACCCGCCCGGAGCUGGUGAAUGGGGAGGUGAACAACCUCCUGGACGGAGCCCAGCCCACCACCGAGUACGAGACCCUCACGGCCAAGUUUCACUUUGUAGACCUGGCUGGCUCAGAGAGGCUGAAGCGAACAGGUGCUACUGGCGAGAGAGCGAAGGAAGGCAUCUCCAUCAACUGUGGGCUGCUGGCCUUGGGGAACGUCAUUAGUGCCCUCGGAGACCAGAGCAAGAAAGUUGUGCACGUGCCCUACCGCGACUCCAAGCUCACCCGCCUGCUGCAGGAUUCCCUUGGGGGCAACAGCCAAACCAUCAUGAUCGCCUGCGUGAGCCCAUCUGACCGGGACUUCAUGGAGACCCUGAACACGCUCAAGUAUGCUAACCGGGCUCGCAACAUCAAGAACAAGGUGGUGGUGAACCAGGACAAGACAAGUCAACAGAUCAGUGCCCUGCGGGCCGAGAUCGCCCGCCUGCAGAUGGAGCUGAUGGAGUACAAGGCGGGCAAGCGGGUCAUUGGGGAGGAUGGCUCGGAGGGCUACAGUGACCUUUUCCGCGAGAACGCCAUGCUGCAGAAGGAGAACAGCACCCUGCGCAUGCGGGUGAAGGCCAUGCAGGAGGCCAUCGAUGCUAUCAACAGCAGGGUCACCCACCUCAUGAGCCAGGAGGCCAAUCUGAUGCUGGCCAAGGCAGGUGAUGGUAACGAAGCCAUUGGCACCCUCAUCCAGAACUACAUCCGGGAGAUUGAAGAGCUGAGGACAAAGCUUUUGGAGAGCGAGUCCAUGAAUGAGUCUCUGCGUCGCAGCCUCUCACGUGUCUCUGCCCGGCCCCCCUACUCCAUGGGCUCGUCCCCAGCAUCUGGCUUGGCUGGCCUGUGCAGCCCCGCUGCUCCGGUGGAGACAGAGGCCUCUGAUGUCCUCCGACGGGCCAAGCAGGACCUGGAGCGCCUGAAAAAGAAAGAGAGGCGGCAGCGGAGGAAAAGCCCGGAGAAGGAAGCAUUUAAGAAGCGGCAGAAACUGCAGCAGGACAAUGGGGAGGAGACGGAUGAGAACGAGGUGGAAGAGGAGGAGGAGGAACAGGAUGAGAGUGGCUGUGAGGAAGAAGAUGGACAUGAAGAUGAGGAUGAGGACUCAGCCAGUGAAGAGAGCCUGGUGGACUCAGACUCGGAUGCAGAGGAGAAGGCCGUGAAUUUCCAGGCCGACCUGGCGGAUCUGACUUGCGAGAUAGAGAUCAAGCAGAAGCUGAUUGAUGAGCUGGAGAACAGCCAGCGGCGCCUGCAGACCCUGAAGCACCAGUACGAGGAGAAGCUGAUCCUGCUGCAGAACAAGAUUCGGGACACACAGCUGGAGCGGGACCGGGUCCUGCAGAACCUCAGCACCAUGGAGUGCUACACAGAGGAGAAAGCCAACAAGAUCAAAGCAGACUAUGAGAAGCGGCUGAAGGAGAUGAACCGGGACCUGCAGAAGCUCCAGGCAGCCCAGAAGGAGCAUGCUCGCCUGCUCAAGAACCAGUCCCGCUACGAGCGGGAGCUGAGGAAGCUGCAGGCGGAGGUGGCCGAGAUGAAGAAGGCAAAGGUUGCGCUGAUGAAGCAGAUGCGAGAGGAGCAGCAGCGGAGGCGGCUGGCAGAGACAAAGAGGAAUCGGGAGAUCGCGCAGCUCAAGAAGGAGCAGCGCCGGCAGGAGUUUCAGAUCCGGGCUCUGGAGUCUCAGAAGCGGCAGCAGGAAAUAGUGCUGCGGAGGAAAACCCAGGAGGUCUCAGCGCUGCGCCGUCUCGCCAAGCCCAUGUCAGACCGGGUCGCAGGCAGGACAAGCCAGAAGCCGGCCAUGCUGGACUCAGGCGCGGAGGUCUCGGCCAGCACCACCUCCUCCGAGCCCGAGUCUGGCGCUCGCUCCGUCUCCAGCAUCGUGCGCCAGUGGAACAGGAAAAUCAACAACUUUCUGGGAGACCCUUCAUCCUCCGUGAAUGGGGCUCGGCCCACCAGGAAGAAGUUCCCCAAGAAAGGGGCGAGCCAGACCUUCAGCAAAGCCGCCCGCCUCAAGUGGCAGUCACUGGAGCGGCGCAUCUUCGACAUCGUGAUGCAGAGGAUGACCAUUGUCAACCUGGAGGCUGACAUGGAGCGGCUCAUCAAGAAACGCGAGGAGCUGGCACUGCUGCAGGAAGCAUUGCUGGGCAAGAGGAUGAAACUGCAGGCAGAGAGCCCCAAGGAGCAGAAAGGGCUACAGGAGCUGAACGAGGAGAUCGAGGUGCUGGGGGCCAACAUUGACUACAUCAAUGACAGCAUUUCUGACUGCCAGGCCACCAUCAUGCAGAUCGAGGAGACCAAGGAGGAGCUGGACUCCACAGACACCUCAGUGGUGAUCAGCUCCUGCUCCCUGGCCGAAGCGCGGCUCCUGCUGGACAACUUCUUGAAGGCUUCCAUUGACAAGGGGCUGCAGGUGGCUCAGAAGGAGGCCCAGAUCCGCCUGCUGGAGGGGCGCCUGCGGCAGACGGACAUGACCAACUCCUCGCAGAACCAUGCCAUCCUGGAUGCCCUGCGAGAGAAGGCUGAGUCGCACCCUGAGCUGCAGGCCCUGAUCCACAACGUCCAGCAAGAGAACGGCUAUACCAGCACAGAUGAGGAGGUCUCAGAGUUCAGCCUGGCUUCAGAUGGGAGCAUCUCCCAGUCUUUCACCAUGAAGGGCUCAGCAAGCCAGGAUGAUUUCAAGUUCAAGGGAGAGCCCAAGCUCUCAGGGCAGAUGAAGGCAGUGUCAGCUGAGUGUCUAGGACCCACACUGGACGUCUCCACCAAGAACAUCACCAAGUCCUUGGCAUCCCUCAUGGAGAUCAAAGAGGAUGGGAUCAGCUUCUCCAUCCGAGACCCCUAUUACAAGGAGAAGGUGUCACGCACCAUCAGCCUGCCCACGCGAGGAAGCACCUUUCCCAGGCAAUCUCGUGGCUCGGACACUUCACCUCUGACAAGAAGGAAAUCCUAUGACCGUGGCCAACCUGCCAGGCCUCCAGAUGUUGGCUUCACGCCUCCCUCAUCCCCACCCACCCGUCCACGCAACGACCGCAAUGUCUUCUCUCGUCUCACGAGCAACCAGAGCCAGGGGUCUGCCUUGGAUAAGUCUGAUGACAGCGAUUCCUCUGUCUCGGAGGUGCUGAGGGGCAUCAUUAACCCGGUGGGUGGCACCAAGAAUGCCCGGACAGCCCCACUGCAGUGCGUCUCCAUGGCAGAAGGACAUACCAAGCCUGUGCUCUGCCUGGAUGCCACCGAUGAGCUGCUUUUCACUGGGUCCAAAGACCGGAGCUGCAAAAUGUGGAACCUGGUGACAGGCCAAGAAAUUGCUUCCCUCAAGGGUCACCCAAACAAUGUGGUCUCCAUCAAGUACUGCAGCCACACGGGGCUGGUGUUCACUGUGUCCACAUCGUACAUCAAAGUGUGGGACAUCCGGGACUCGGCCCGGUGCAUCCGCACCCUCACAUCUUCUGGACAGGUGAUCUCUGGGGACGCGUGUGCUGGGACCACCACCCGCACUGUCACCAGUGUGCAGGGGGAGCACCAGAUCAACCAGAUUGCUCUCAACCCCACUGGCACUAUGCUCUAUGCUGCCACUGGUAACUCUGUCCGCAUCUGGGAGCUGAGCAGGUUGCAGCCCAUCGGGAAGCUGAGUGGCCACAUCGGGCCUGUGAUGUGUCUCACGGUAAACCAGACAGCGAGCAACCACGACCUGGUUGUCACGGGCUCCAAAGAUCACUACGUCAAGGUGUUUGAGAUUGCUGAGGGCAUGGUGGGCAAUAUUGGCCCCACUCACAACUUUGAGCCCCCUCACUACGAUGGCAUCGAGUGCCUGGCCAUCCAGGGAGACGUCCUUUUCAGCGGCUCCAGGGACAACGGCAUAAAGAAGUGGGAUCUGGAGCAGCAGGAACUUAUCCAGCAAAUCCCCAAUGCCCACAAAGACUGGGUCUGUGCCCUCGCCUUCAUCCCUGGCCGCCCCAUGGUGCUGAGUGCUUGCCGAGGAGGCAUGAUCAAAGUCUGGAAUGUGGACACCUUCACCCCGGUUGGGGAGAUCAAAGGGCACGACAGCCCCAUCAAUGCCAUCUGCACCAACUCAAAGCACAUCUUCACUGCCUCCAGUGACUGCCGGGUAAAGUUAUGGAAUUACGUGCCUGGGCUCACCCCUUGCCUUCCACGACGCGUCCUUGCCAUAAAGGGCCGUGCUACUAGUCUGCCUUGACCCUCCUGCUCUUUCCGACUCUCUCGCUCAUGCACUCUUCUGUCUUUCCUUUCCUUUUCUCUUUCUCUCCAUCUCUUUCUCCGUCUGUCUUUCUCUCUGUUGCUUGCUUUUGCUCCUCUCUUUUUCUUUCUCUCUGGUCUGAGCUGCUUCUUCACGCGACUUGACAGUGAAGCUGUGGAGCGGGAGGAGGUUACCCGCGGGGUCAAACUAAGAACUGCAAAAAGACUGGAAGAUGUGACAGGAGGGUGAAGGUCAGGGUACCUCUCCCUCGCUAUCAAGACCCGGUCACCUACUGGAGCCCAUGGAUAGGGAUUUCUUUGUGCCUGACCCAACGGAGUGGAUGAUGUCCCAUAUGGUACUUUGAGCACUGCCAGCCCCUGUGAGGAGGCAGCUCUGUGGGUCAGUGUCAGCUCCACCUUCCCUCCUACUGAGGUUUCUUGAUGGUUUUCCAGUGACCAGGAAAUGUUUCGUCUGUCUUCUCACUCACCCUGCUGUAAUGCCUGCUGGGACUUCCAGGGGUCAGAGCUUCUUGACUCCUUCUCAAAGACACCCAAUUCCCUCCUGCCACCAUGAUCUGCUGCUUCUGUCCCUGUUGGCUCCGGGGCUGGUUCCUGUAGGAGCCUUUCUCCACUCCAUGGCCACGAGGACAUUUGGUGUCUGCUGGCCAGGACCACAGCAUAGAGGGGCUGUUUCUUUGAAGAUGUUACUCGUGGGACAGCCUCUCUGCUGUUGGGGGUCUGCAGAAGGAUUUCCAGGUAGUCCCAUCGUUUCCCAUCCUCCAUCUACCUGUCCCCAGCGGCUGGAGCUGUGCACCUCUGAGCUCCUUUGCCCUGUCCCAGAUCUGGAGACAUGGCAAGCCUGGGAAGAUCUUCAUCAGACAACUUCCAGACAAACCCGCUGCAGUUCCCUUCGAUGUUCUCCAAACCCCAGUCAUAAACUCAACUGACCCAUGGCUCUCGGGCUCUUCCCCAUGUGCCCACCCUGCUCUGCAGUGGGGAAGGGAAGGGCUGGUUAGCCCUGCUCUUGACACCUUGGCCCUCAGCAGGGGUUUUGUGGUGGGUUCCUGCAGCACAUUAACCCCCUUGAGAUGGAGAAACGAAGCAAGAAUGGAGGUUACAGGGCAAAGAAGCCAAGGCUGGAUUUGUCACCCCCACCCCUGUGGGCCUGUCUUGUUCUGCCAUCACUGGGAGCUGGAGGCUGUAAAUCCUUCCCCCAGGCUCUGCUCUCAGCCCUCUACCUGGGAGGGGGGCUAGCUCAGGUUUGGCCUGUCGGCCCCCGUGGAUCCGGGAGCCAGAGAGGGCCCAGCAAGGCAUGGAGCAGCUGGAGGACAGGCCAGGUUGGAGUCAGCUGUGCCGGGAGCAGGGUGAGGAAGGGGUUGCACACACUGGUCUUGCACAAGUCCCCUGAUUCACCCAAUGCUUGGAGGACAAUCCUGCAGUGGAUGAUCUUGCACAGUCCAAUCUCCAUGAAAGGCUGGGAGCUCUAUCCAGGAGUGUUUCCCCAGGCACUCAGCUUCUCCAGGCUCCCUCCUCCCUCUUUCCUGUUCAAGGGGCUGGCAAGGCCCUGGUCUCACACUGGAGCUUUUCUCCACCUCUCCUGUGGCCUGCUGGACCAUCCCCUGCUCCAUCCUGCCCUGGGCCAGGCAGGGCUUCUCGCAGGAUGGCCAAGGAGACCCUGGGAUUGGUGCUCUUGCCUCACAUGCUCUUAGUUCCCCUCUGUCACAGAAGCAGCAGCGUUUGAACUCAAAUUUAAGGAUUUCUCCACAUGAUCCUACCAGCACUGAACUGGGAUCUCAGAGGUCAGGGGCUCCAGGACCUGCCCCAUAAAGCACAGACUGUUUUCCCUCUGCUUUCUCCAAUCAUGGUGACUCAUGGACCAGCCCCAGAUCAUUUGCCACCAGCCCUUGUUAAAACCAUUCUGGGUGGAGCAUGGUAAUUCCUCCACAUCCUGAAAGACAGGAGCAUCUCUAUUGAUUUGAUGGAGGGGUUUGCCUUUUGGGGGGGGGGGGAACCCAUUCUACUGCCUUGCCUUGGCGGAGGGCGUGAUGGCGUGCGUGGGUGUGACCCUGCCCAGGACUGUGACCAGUCCCUUGUAAUUGUGGCCGAGCCCUGCACAGGCCUGGACUGGUGGCUGCAUCGAGGCAAGGAGCCCUCCUGCUACGGCUGGUGGAGAAGCGGUGCCAGUGCUGGCAGCUCUGGGCUCUGCACCCUGCGGGACUGGAGGGGGCAAAAAAAGAAAGCAUGGGGGCACCCUGAUGCACAGAUGUGGGGGGCUGGAGGAGGUGUUGCCCUCCAAGCCUGUCUUGGAGAGGGUUUCCCUGCUCAUUCCUCAGCCAGUUUAGCCUUUGCUUGGCUGGGUGGGUGUGGGGGUGUGUUUGUCUGUAGCCAGAUGCACCACGUGCAUCGGUGUCUGCACAAGAUCUGCCAGUGCCCAACAUGAAACCUCUCGCUGCUCCCUCCUGAAGUCAGUGAAGGGACCUGCUCCUGUGGGGCUUGGGGUCAGACUACCUUGCCUUUCACCACCAGUUUCUUCCUGUGUGUAGGCUGCAAGUGCCUGCUUCAUUUCCCAGGGCUGAGUGGCCAAUCCUGGAUGAUGCUGAGCAUCCACCUCACUGCUACAUCCAGCAGCAUCUUGAGGGGGCUUCAAGGUUUUUGCAGCCUGCAGGUGGAGUGAGCUGGGUACUGCAGCACAGCAGCAAGCGUCCGGAAAGGGGGGGGUCUUUGACGUGAGCGGUGACUGUGAUCCCAUAGCAUUGUGUGUACGUCUUAGUAUCUGUGUGGGUUGGUAUUUCCCAUGCAGGAAAGAGUUUCUUGGGUGUUGAUCUGGUUUAGCUACCUCAUGGUGCAAGCUGGGUGCUGUCGUCAUUGGGUUUCAUUUUGGGGAUAGGGUGGGGAGUUUGUGUUUUUAGUCUUUUCUUCUCUUAAUUAUUGUUAUGGUUUUGACACUUGAAUUCGUCCUGGGGACACGUGGCCUCACCCCCACCUCGCUGCAUGUCUGAGCCGCCCCUUGUGUUCCCCUUCCUGCCUUCUCCUGCGCAGCACAGCAGGACCAGCAUCCUGCUCUCCCCUGUGUUCCCAGCUCCCACCUUUGCAGUGGGAUCCCCCGAGUCACAACACUGAGAUUUUGCUCCUGUUGCUGGUGGGGUGCUUGGACUGAGGCUUGGUGUUGUUGCUGUCAGUUAUUGGGUUGAUUUGCAGUCUGGAAGUGGUCCCUCUUGUCCCUUUGAAGGAUGGAAAGGGACCUCUGAGAGGCUCAGCUCAGCCUGUAUUCCUGCCUCUGGUCUCACAGAUACUCUCUGUGGAUGCAAUGAAGCCCUUAUUGUCUGGGAAAUGUCCAUGCAAAGCACACUGCUGGAAUGGGCUGGUCCUAGUCCCAAUUUUUCCAGAGCCUGCUGUAAUCUGGUGGCAGCCUCGAGCAGUGGGAACUAGUGCUGUAAAAGCCUUUGUCUGGGGUGGAGGCGGUGUGUGAGAGAAGCUGAUUCUUGUGUGUGAUGUUUGAUUUUUUUCAUCCCCAAAAUAUAGUUGAAUCUAGAUCCUGUCCCAGGCACUGAACAUAAACCAGGGUAGCCCUGGAGCCCCCAGAUUACCCCCUACUUGGGGCUGGGGAGCCAACACAGGGUCGUACUCCACUCCCCUGGCACAAUGGGGUUUGGGAAGGGGCUCGCAGCUCUGAGCCACACUGUUGGGUUGGGGGGGGGGGCAGGUUCCCCCAAACACUAAAGCACAAGGUCCUAACAUGCAGGUGGUCUAGCAAGGGUGGCCCCUUGGAUUCUGGUCCUUCAGAGCUCAGACUGGGGCCAUGGGCUUGGACAGCCAAGGUGGAGGUGGGUCGAGGGAUGACGGUGAGGGCUGUUUGCCUGCCGGAGGAAGCAGGUGAGGUGUUUAAUCCUUUUGCACUGUGCUGGGGUGCUCCCCUGGGGCUCAGGACUUGCACUGCUGCAUAGCUUAAGUCCCUUCUAGUGGUGUCUGAGCCCCUCUAAUAGCCCCUCUAUUGCAGGGACAUUUUGGAGCUGCCUUCACACCAUGCACCUCGUUUUGCUUCACCCUUGGGUGCCUUGGUUUGCACCAAGGGUGUGAUGAUACCUGCAGUCCAGGGAAGUCCUUCCCUUCCUCAAAUCUCUGGGUGAUGCUUUUGUCCCAGGCCCUGACUCUUGCUCUGUGGGUCUCCUCCCUCCAGCACACAGGAGCCAGCUCCAGCCUCUGCUGAGGGCGUAGUGCUGGCCCAGAGCUGAGCUUUGCACACAAGGGGUGGAGAUGACUCAGGAGCCCAAAAGCACUGUGAGCCCACCCAGGGAGCCUGGGCACUGCCCCUUCCCUGGCACCUAUGCUUUUAUGGCACAAAAUGCCAGGCUGGUGGUUCAUCUCUCAGUCUGGCCAGCUGUGAGGAGCUGGAGCACCAGGGUCCUGUCCCCUCAGGUACAUUGGUCCUCCCCAGCACCUCUGAGCACAGCUACUUUGGGGUCACAGAUACUGCCUCCUGCCUUGGUGCUGCAGAACCAGUGCCUGCUCCCCAGGAUGCUCUCCUAGUGUCCCUAUCCCAGUUGUUCCCCAGUCCCAUGCUGGAUGGGGUCCAGGUACAAUCCCUGGACAGCACAGGGCUCCCACUUGCUUUUCAGCAAGCUCACUGGGGCUUUGCUCUGUGCUGCAGGCUGCAUGCCCUUUCUGAGCCCCCUUCACCCUCCUGGGGAGGGAAGGGGACCCCUGGUCCCUCCAUGUGCUGCACAGUGCUCCAGCUGUAAGUGGGAGGGAGCCCAGCACAGCCCUGACUCCCCAGGCCCUGGCCUGGCCUCCUGGGCCUCACCCCCAGAAAAGCACAGCCCUGCACCUUUCUCCUGCCCCCAGGGGCUUGUCCCCUCAUCCAUAACAGCUCUGCCCCUGGUACCUGCCAGCUGUUCUGCACCCCCAUGUCCUGGGACCACCCACUACCCUCCGGUCCAGCCCUGCGACAGGGCUUCGGCAGCUGCAGCGUUGUGGCGCCUGCUCUGUCACCCCUUCCCGCUGCACAAGUAUGGCAAAUAGCAGGUGCCUUUUCUUGCUUUGAGCUGUUUUCUAGAGGCCAACUCUUGUGAAGGCUUUUUUUCUCUGCUGGGUCGUGCAGCCCAGCCCAGCAGUCUGGGUUUGUCAAAGGACAAGGUGUGUACAUAUAUUUUAUACCUUGAUGUGUUCCUGUAAAUAGUGUAAGUUAUUUUGGUCUCAUGAUGUACAUGUUUUUUCAAUGGCUGUGUUUGUUCCUUGCCUCUUUGUCUUCACAAAUAAAAUAUACUGAGAUGAA